UAAAUGUCUCGUGGUGAUUUGGCCGGCCGGCUUGCAGCCACGUUAAACAAGUCGCUAAAGGGCCGUGGGUGAAACGGA
rnacentral:ncRNA from 2 species